GUCCUUCAGCAGCACAUAUACUAAAACUGAAACAAUACAGAGAAGAUUAACAUUUCUGCUGUGUAAGAAUAACAUGUAAAUUCAUGAAAUAUCCCAUAAUUUU